rnacentral:rRNA from 1 species
GAUGAACGCUGGCGGCGUGCCUAAUACAUGCAAGUCGAGCGCACGGACGAGAAGCUUGUUUCUCUGAUGUUAGCGGCAGACGGGUGAGUCACACGUGGAUACUCUAUCUUUAAGACUGGGAUAACUUCGGGAAACCGGAUAUAACACCGUAUAAUAUUUUGUACCACAUGGUUCAAUAGUGAAAGACGGUCUUGCCGCUACUAAUAGAUGGUUCCGCGCUGCAUCAGCUAGUUGGUAAGAUAACGGCUUACCAAGGCAACGAUGCAUAGCCGACCUGAGAGGGUGAUCGGCCACACUGGAACUGAGACACGGUCCAGACUCCUACGGGAGGCAGCAGUAGGGAAUCUUCCGCAAUGGGCGAAAGCCUGACGGAGCAACGCCGCGUGAGUGAUGAAGGUCUUGGGAUCGUAAAACUCUGUUAUUAGGGAAGAACAUAUGUGUAAGUAACUGUGCACAUCUUGACGGUACCUAAUCAGAAAGCCACGGCUAACUACGUG